GCUGGCAUGAGCCUGCCCUACCAGGCAGGCCCUGGAGGGGUUGACCCUCAUGGCAGAGGACUAUUGGACUGACACUGAUCUAAAGUUGUUAGCUACCUCUUAGAUGUCAAUCCCAGCGUCUUUCCUCAGCUCCUCCAGCGCUGGGUCUCUUAGGCAAGCAUCAGUCACUGUCUGUCACUCCUCUUCAGUCGCUCCCCUCUCUAUGCAAACUGUUUCCAAUUUUCCUUCAGCUUUCCUGGUCAUUUUCUCCUUCCUUUCUUGCUCCCCCCUUCCCUCUCCCAACUCCUCUUUCCUCUUGAAAAAUUCAAUUCAUCUGCUGUCCUGCGGCUGCUUAUUUUGUGCUAAAUUCUAUAGCAAGAGCUGGGAGUAUAAAAGCCACGGCCCUGGCUUUUGAGGGGCUGAAGUUCAAAGAAAAACCAUCAGCGAAAGAACACGAUACAAUACGAGGAGCGCUGUCAUGACUUGGAUACCCGUGGUCUAAAGGAAGCACAGGGGGACGAAUGGCUGAUCUCGGCAUUGAUGGGGUGUUCCCAGAUCUGGUCCCACAUUCCCAACAGCCUUCUAGAAACUGCUACCAAAUGGAACUCAUCUGCUCUUCUUGGAGAAACGCCAUCCUCCUGUGUUCCUUCGGCCAUCCCAACUAACCCUCCUCGCAAGUUGCCACGCCUCCUGGCUGACUCAGCACAUCAUCUCCUGCCUUGAUGACCCACUGCCUCCAGGCUGGACCCUUUCUCAAAGAUUAUCUCUGACUCCAGAAUGAAGCAGAAAGAAUUCUUGGUUGGCCCACAAUGUCUUGAGUGAUCUGGCCUGAGAGUAUCUGGUUAUCUUUCCCUUUCACCCCCAACUUCAAUGCCUUUGACUCAGUGCCUCUGUGCCCCUGUGUAUGCUGGACACAUACACCAGGCUCCUGUCUCAUUUGUUCCAAACCUUUCCCCUAUCUCCUUCCCUCUGCUUUUCAUCCUCUCUGUGCUCUGGAUGUAUUUGCGUUAUCAAAGCUGUAAUGCUGAUGAAUUUAGGCAUCAGGGUCUCCUCGCUCAUCCUUGGAGAUGAGCUCCUUGUUGACAAGACCUGGCCUUUGUAUGUUGAGAUUCUAAUCCUGAUGCCUAGUGCCUAGGAAUUGUAUAGUCUCCAAAACUGGACAGAGCAUCUCUAAAGUACUGGAGGACAAUGAGGAGAUGGGACUGAACUGGGACAGCCGAGGGGUCCCAUUGUCUUCUGCAAGGAGGGGGAACAGGCCACUUUUUGCAACUGAAUAACUGCUUUUCAAAAAAGCCAGCAUCAGCCGGGCGUUGGUGGCGCACGUCUUUAAUCCCAACACUCAGGAAGCAGAGGCAGGCGGAUCUCUGUGAGUUCGAGGACAGCCUGGUCUCCAGAGCAAGUGCCAGGAUAGGCUUCAAAGCUACACAGAGAAACCCUGUCUUGAAAAAACAAAAAAAAAAAGAAGAAGCCAGCAUCAUAGAAAACCAAAUGUCCCACCAUGGACUUACAGCACGAACAGUGAGUUUUCCAAGGCCCAGACUGGACAUUAGUUUUAGUGGGAAAAGAAAGAAUCCCUGAUGAGUUUCAAGACAGAAGACUAGGGCUUGAGCCUGCCCUCUAGAAUGUAUUGAGAGUCUUAAUUUCCGACGAUAUUGGGUCAGGUUGGAUGCCACCAACACCCAGUUUCUGCAGCUUGGAGCCCAGGAAUGAAAAGUGUUGCUCACCUCCUCCUGGGGUUGCUCUGAGGUGAUGUGUAGAGGUGCCUUCACAGUGCUAAAGGGAUACCACACCCCUUUGCUCAGGGCUUGCCUGGCAAUGAGUAUUCCCUGAAGACGCCUCUUUUCGCCAUUGCCUUGCUUUUCUGCCAGAGUCGUCAAGCUUAGCACCAAGCAGCUGGAACCUUCCACUGAGAAGGGAGGCACCACUUAGACAUCCAGACAUGCAGUUUUUAAACACGGGGAAUAUGGAGGAAAUAUCACAGAACUUAUGUGAGGGAAAGCUUUAACAAGAAACACAGACUUAGGUCAAAACAGUUGACUCAGCUUUGGGAAAUGUCUGCCUCAGGGCAGGAGGGAAGAGAGAUAGACUCAGAAGGUGGAAACAAGAGAAAGGCUCAUUGGGGUAGCCCACUUGGUGAUCUCAGUGGACCUCUUCACACACAGUUCUAGGGAUUAGGGACAGGAAGUCAUGCUGCUUGAACAUAGGGUGACACUCCCCAGUAGUUUUUGCACCCAGCAAUCUCAUUUCUAAGAGCACAUUUGAAGUCAAGAAAGCUGAAAACAGCAUAAACACCAUUCAAUAGAGGAUUGGCUGGCUUAUUGACUCCCAACAUAUCCACACAGAGAAGAGCAAUGGUUGAUACCUUUCUUUGGAUAUGGAAGUGACCUACAUCACUGCAGAUAAAAUGGUAUGGAUGUAUGGAAUUUUUUUCCCACAUGAGAAAAUGUAUUGAUGCAUUGGGGGUUGUGCUUUAGUCUGUCAACAGAGUGUCUCUGCAUUGCUUCACAAACUUCAGAACUGUAAUAAAUCC
ensembl:lncRNA